rnacentral:lncRNA from 10 species
ACGGGAACGCGAAUGACUGUAAAAUAGGAAGACAAACAUAAAGAUGAAGUGCUUAAUUCAAGGUCACACAAUGUCGGGGAUGGACCUCCAGAUUUCCUUACUGACCUGCAUUAUCUUGUGGAUACCUGAGUGAAUUCCACACCACCCAUUUUAUAGAUGAAACCACUGAGACAUGGAGCAAUUGACUGAGUAGUCACUGCCCCACCCCUGCCUGGAGCCUCACACAUGACUCGCCUCCUCUCAGUGACCACAGGUUGGUUGAGGGGUUUAACAAGGCUAAGAAGGUGAGACGUGGUCUUGUAACACAGUGGUUAAGAAUGUGACUUUGGAGCCAGCCUGCUAGGGGCUGAAUUCUGACUCAGCCAUUUACUAACUGUGUGACCUUAGGGAGGAGGACCUGGUUGAUAGAAGAAUUUAUCUCGUAGUCUUAACAUCCACUGUAAUUCCAAACUUUGAGGACGAUAGAGAUCAGUGGGCUUUGACUGCCCAGCAUGCAGUCUCCAUUCUUAGGUGGGUUCCCAAGCCUGUAAAAUGUAAGCCUUAUGCUGCUGAGGGCCAUCUUGCCACCCUGAGGGAAACGCUGCCUGAGAAUGAAACAAGCAUAAGUAAAAGCUGAGCUGUGAGAUGGAGCAAGAUGAAGGCCACAUGACAUCUUUGGAGCACCUGGAUCUAACUGUGCCUUAAGCUAGUCUAACCCUGAACAUUUCAUCAUUUCAUUGACAUGAGCCCAGGUUUUCUUUUUUUUUGGAUGGAGUCUUGCUCUG